rnacentral:rRNA from 1 species
GUGGAUUAGAUACCCUAGUAGUCCACGCCCUAAACGAUGUCUACUAGUUGUCGGGUUUUAAUUAACUUGGUAACGCAGCUAACGCGUGAAGUAGACCGCCUGGGGAGUACGGUCGCAAGAUUAAAACUCAAAGGAAUUGACGGGGACCCGCACAAGCGGUGGAUGAUGUGGAUUAAUUCGAUGCAACGCGAAAAACCUUACCUACCCUUGACAUGGAAGGAAUCCCGGAGAGAUUUGGGAGUGCCCGAAAGGGAACCUUCACACAGGUGCUGCACGGUUGUAGACAACU